GGAAAAGUGAAUUUUAUUGGUCUGUUAUUGUAAUUUUCAAUAUAUUAUAUGCUUUUGUAUAAGGAUGAGUUGUUGUGUGCAUUAACUUAUUUUUUAGUUUCUUGCACAUUUGCGACUUUGAAGAAGUAAGGAAAUUGCCUCCUCCUGUUCCUGCUUCCCCACCCUGCUAUCAUAAAGAAAAGUCUAAAGGGAGAAAUAAACAAAUACUUCUCAUUUGUCCUCCAUUAGUUUAAUAUGUUAAGGUCUAUGUCUUUGUGACUCAGCUUUUUUGUUUGUUCAGUUUCUC
rnacentral:misc_RNA from 1 species